rnacentral:rRNA from 1 species
AUGAUUGUACGUGGUAUAUGUAUGAUAGAAUUAAUGGAAGCGAUUGGCUUAGUAAGUUUACAUGGAGAAACAGUUCAAGAAAUAUCUUGUUUGAACAGCUUAGCAUGUUUUUUCUUUGACUCCUUUGCCUUUGAAGUUUUGACAUGCUGUUCUUAUUCAUCUCAAGCUGAGCAAGAUGCUAUCCAGUACCUGUGUAGAGAGCUUGAGAACUACGGAUUGCUCCUGUGUGAGAGAAGUCUGAUCAGCCAAUUUCUAUAUAUAAUGUGCAACGCACGGGACUUUUUGCUAGUCUCUCCCUAA